UACCAGCACCCCGAGUGGUCGGGACGAUUAUUGGGCCUAAAGCAUCCGUAGCUUGUCCUGCAAGUCUUCCGUUAAAUCCACCUGCUCAACAGAUGGGCCGCGGGGGAUACUACAGGGCUAGGAGGCGGGAGAGGCAAACGGUACUCAGUGGGUAGGGGUAAAAUCCACUGAUCCACUGAAGACCACCAGUGGCGAAGGCGGUUCGCCAGAACGCGCUCGACGGUGAGGGAUGAAAGCUGGGUGAGCAAACCGG
rnacentral:rRNA from 1 species